UACGAAGGGGGCAUAGCGUUUGCUCGGAAUCAGCUGGGGCGUAAAGCGCACGGUAGGCGGAUUUGCUAAGUCAGGGGUGAAAUCCUGGGAGCUCAACUCCAGAACUGCCUUUUGAUACUGGGAGUGCGUUGAGUUCGGGAGAGGUGAGUGGAACUGCGAAGUGUAGAGGUGAAAUUCGUAGAUAUUCGCAAGAACACCAGUGGCGAAGGCGGCACUCUGGGCCGGAACUGAGCGCUGAGGAGCGAAAGCGUGGGGAGCGAACAGG
rnacentral:rRNA from 1 species